rnacentral:misc_RNA from 1 species
GAUUAAACCUUGGGUCUGCCCAUAGCUUCUUCAUUGUAGAGAACAGUUUGGCUAUAUAACUCCAAACACCAGCGCUGGAUAGGUAAGCGCAAAUAACUCUCAAAUGCUGGGUCUCAUUUUCUGUACAGUUCCACCUGCUCAUGUACCACCAAGACCUGAUGUGGGUUAAUUGAUGUGAGGCUGUGGCACACGGCACCAUCGGACAACCACUGUCAUGUACUCCAUCAUUUUAAAGCUUGUCGAGCAGACAGAGAUCUGUUUCUGAGGAGAAACCAAGCACAGAAUGAUCUCUUCUGCUUUUAUGCACUGAUGAGGACCUUAAAAUGUCCGUACAGAUCUGAAUCAUCCCACUUCAUAAAUUUAUCCAAACACCCCUUGUUUGUCUCACCAAGGUUUCUCAUUUUUUUAAACGAAAGGUGGUUGGAUAAAUUACAAAAUAUCUGGUUGGAUAUACAACAUGUGAUUGGAUAAAUGAGAAACCUGACCGGAGCAACGACGUCCGGUCGAAUAAACGAGAGGUGGUCGGAU